CGGAGUAAUGUCUGGGAACUGCCUGAUGGAGGGGGAUAACGUACUGGAAACGGUAGCUAAUACCGCAUAACGUCGCAAGACCAAAGUGGGGGACCUUCGGGGCCUCAUGCCAUCAGAUGUGCCCAGAUGGGAUUAGCUAGUAGGUGGGGUAACGGCUCACCUAGGCGACGAUCCCUAGCUGGUCUGAGAGGAUGACCAGCCACACUGGAACUGAGACACGGUCCAG
rnacentral:rRNA from 1 species